GUUGAACGCUGGCGGAAUGCUUUACACAUGCAAGUCGAACGGCAGCACGGACUUCGGUCUGGUGGCGAGUGGCGAACGGGUGAGUAAUGUAUCGGAACGUGCCCAGUCGUGGGGGAUAACGUAGUGAAAAUUACGCUAAUACCGCAUACAAUCUAUGGAUGAAAGCGGGGGAUCGCAAGUCCUCGCGCGAUUGGAGCGGCCGAUAUCAGAUUAGGUAGUUGGUGGGGUAAAGGCCCACCAAGCCAACGAUCUGUAGCUGGUCUGAGAGGACGACCAGCCACACUGGAACUGGGACACGGUCCAGACUCCUACGGGAGGCAGCAGUGGGGAAUUUUGGACAAUGGGCGAAAGCCUGAUCCAGCCAUUCCGCGUGCAGGAUGAAGGCCCUCGGGUUGUAAACUGCUUUUGUACAGAACGAAAAGGUUUCUACUAAUACUAGGAGCUCAUGACGGUACUGUAAGAAUAAGCACCGGCUAACUACGUGCCAGCAGCCGCCGUAA
rnacentral:rRNA from 1 species